rnacentral:rRNA from 1 species
UGCGUAGGUGGUGAGGUAAGUCGGAUGUGAAAGCUCGGAGCUCAACUCCGAAAUGGCAUUGGAAACUACCUUGCUAGAGGGUUGGAGGGGGGACUGGAAUACUUGGUGUAGCAGUGAAAUGCGUAGAUAUCAAGUGGAACACCAGUGGCGAAGGCGAGUCCCUGGACAACUCCUGACACUGAGGCACGAAAGCUAGGGAGGCAAACA